rnacentral:rRNA from 1 species
AUGCAAGUAGAACCGCUGAAAAAGAGGAGCUUGCUUCUUUCUUGAUGAGUUGCGAACGGGUGAGUAACGCGUAGGUAACCUGCCUGGUAGCGGGGGAUAACUAUUGGAAACGAUAGCUAAUACCGCAUGAAAUUGAUUAUUGCAUGAUAGUCAAUUAAAAGGUGCAACUGCACCACUACCAGAUGGACCUGCGUUGUAUUAGCUAGUUGGUGAGGUAACGGCUCACCAAGGCGACGAUACAUAGCCGACCUGAGAGGGUGAUCGGCCACACUGGGACUGAGACACGGCCCAGACUCCUACGGGAGGCAGCAGUAGGGAAUCUUCGGCAAUGGACGGAAGUCUGACCGAGCAACGCCGCGUGAGUGAAGAAGGUUUUCGGAUCGUAAAGCUCUGUUGUAAGAGAAGAACGAGUGUGAGAGUGGAAAGUUCACACUGUGACGGUAUCUUACCAGAAAGGGACGGCUAA